GACGAACGCUGGCGGCGUGCUUAACACAUGCAAGUCGAACGGAAAGGCCCUGCUUUUGUGGGGUGCUCGAGUGGCGAACGGGUGAGUAACACGUGAGUAACCUGCCCUUGACUUUGGGAUAACUUCAGGAAACUGGGGCUAAUACCGGAUAGGAGCUCCUGCUGCAUGGUGGGGGUUGGAAAGUUUCGGCGGUUGGGGAUGGACUCGCGGCUUAUCAGCUUGUUGGUGAGGUAGUGGCUUACCAAGGCUUUGACGGGUAGCCGGCCUGAGAGGGUGACCGGCCACAUUGGGACUGAGAUACGGCCCAGACGCCUACGGGAGGCAGCAGUGGGGAAUAUGGCGCAGUGGGCGGAAGCCUGAUGCAGCGACGCCGCGUGCGGGAUGACGGCCUUCGGGUUGUAAACCGCUUUCGCCUGUGACGAAGCGUGAGUGACGGUAAUUAGUAAAGAAGCACCGGCUAACUACGUG
rnacentral:rRNA from 1 species